rnacentral:rRNA from 1 species
GAUGAACGCUGGCGGCGUGCCUAAUACAUGCAAGUCGAGCGAACAGACGAGGAGCUUGCUCCUCUGACGUUAGCGGCGGACGGGUGAGUAACACGUGGAUAACCUACCUAUAAGACUGGGAUAACUUCGGGAAACCGGAGCUAAUACCGGAUAAUAUAUUGAACCGCAUGGUUCAAUAGUGAAAUACGGUUUUGCUGUCUCUUAUAGAUGGAUCCGCGCCGCAUUAGCUAGUUGGUAAGGUAACGGCUUACCAAGGCAACGAUGCGUAGCCGACCUGAGAGGGUGAUAGGCCACACUGGAACAGAGACACGGAACAGACUCCUACGGGAGGCAGCAGUAGGGAAUAUUACGCAAUGGGCGAAAGCAUGACGGAGCAAAGCCGCGUGAGUGAUGAAGGUCUACGGAUCGUAAAACUCUGUUAUUAGGGAAGAAAAAAUGUGUAAGUAACAAUGCACGUAUUGACGGUACCUAAUAAGAAAGCAACGGCUAACUACGUG